rnacentral:rRNA from 1 species
AUGGCAGACAGUGAAACACCCAAUGUCGUACCCAGCGGAAAUUUAUUACCCCCUGGCCAUGAAUCCAGCUCCAGGAUCAAUGAUGCUUUUGAGCUCUUGUGGGGAUAUCGUAAAUAUUUGGUACUGCUUGGAGUCCUAGCAGUUGGUGUGACAUACAAUGCUGGAUUAACACCACCAGGGGGAUCGUGGACACUAAACAAGGAUGGCCAUGAUGCUGGUGACCCUGUCAUGCAUGAUGGCUUUUCUGGACGAUAUGAGGUGUUCUUUUACUGCAAUGCAGCAGCCUUCGCUGCAUCUCUUGUCUUAAUCAUCUUGCUUCUCAGCAAGAGUGUGACAAAUCAGAGGAUGUGGCUCCAUUCAAUGCAAUUGACCAUGACACUGGACCUAUUCAGCCUGCUGGGGGCUUAUGCUGCUGGAAGUUGCAGGACACUCAAGUCAUCCAUUUACAUCUUGGUUCUAGUCCUUGCUGUUAUCAUAUAUGUUGGGAUCCAUACCCUAGUAUCCACAAGGUUUAUUCCAAGAGAAUUGAAACAGAAUCUGCAGACAAUGAUAAAUAGUGUUCUAAACCAACGGAGUUCCCUUGGCAGGCAAGAGAGCAUCCCUCUAGAGAAAGCCGUUGAGGAGGCUCGCAAGUUCAUUUUGACGCUUGUAAUUUUUGCUGCUACUAUCACAUACCAAGCAGGAUUGAAUCCACCGGGCGGCUUUUGGGCUGAAAAUGACCAUGGUUCUAAUAAGGUGCAUAUGGCCUUUCCUCCUUACAAGCAUCAUCCGGGUACUUCUGUUCUCCGGACUAACUACCUUGGUCGUUAUAAUAUAUUCAUCAUUUCCAAUUCAACUUCCUUCGUGGCAUCUUUGGUCAUAAUCAUACUGAUUCUGAGCCCAAAACUGAGCGGACAUGGAAUAAGGACCAAAGCAGUGAUUGUAUGUGUGGUAGUGGACCUACUGUGCCUAAUUGCUGCGUAUGCUGCAGGAUGCUGUAGAGAGGUAGCAACAUCAUUCUUUGUGGUGUCUAUUUUCUUCAUAGUUUGGAUAUCCUUCGCAGUUUUAGUUGGAUUCUUUGUUCAGGGACCUGUAGCAAAUUGGCUACGAAAGGUCAAAUCAAGCAGCCUGUGUUAUGUGAAAAAAUGGGGCCGUGCACUUUCGUUGAACUUUCGUGACCACAGAUCGAUCAAUGCAGAGCAGGGGAAUUCUGUGGCAAGGAAUCAUCAAUCUCCAGCCUGUUCAACUGAUGCACCUGCAGAAGUUAAUACCCCUGAGCAACAUUCAAAUAUCAGACAGGGUGAAUUCCAUGAGUUGCAUGUACCUGCAGAAAAAAGUCAAAUUUCAGAUGUUCAAGAGGCUGUGCCUAACACACAGCAUCCAUCAGGGAACAGCCAGCAAUCAACAAAUAUUCAGGACGUUGUGUCCAACCCGGAGUGCCAGUCUCCAGAUGUCCAGUGUGUUGCAAACAUAGAGGAGGACGUGUCCAGCUCACAGCAUCCUGCAGGGAACUGUCAACGACCAGAACAUGUCAAGGAUGUUGUGUCUAACAUGGAGUACCCAUUACUAAGCCACCAGCAAACUGAAAAUAGCAUGUGCGGUAUGUCAGCUAACCAGAAAGUUGCAAGUAUGGGGAAGCAAUCUUCACCUGAUGAUCCUGACAUGACUGCUCUUUCAGUUGAGCAAAAUAUGUCAGUCAGGCAGAGUGAUGGAGACACUAGUAGUGACAUAGUGGAUGAAGGGCUCUCUGCACCUGUGGAAGCCACUGGCAGUGCGGACUCUGCUGAACAAAACAAUCUGGUUGGAGAUAAUAACCCUAGUACUGAGAUUCUUUGCAGUGAUGACCAUCCUAUACAUUCUGAGAAUGUACAUAUUGACAGCAAUCAAGUACCCAAUCAAAAUGCUGAUGACAUUCGAACUGAGAAGCAUCUGAAGAAGACCCGCACAUGUAUGCUGCUUCUUGCCAUUCUUGCAGUAUCUCUGGCAUACCAAUCAGGCCUGAAUCCACCAGGUGGCUUUUGGUCAAUAAGUAAAGAUCAUCAUUCAGCUGCUGAUCGCAUCCUUGAGGACACCCAUCAUCGCUGGUUCAUUGCAUUCUUCUAUCUCAAUGCAAUCGCCUUUGUGGCAUCCAUUGUCAUGAUCACUUUGCUCUUGAACAAGAUGGUGAGCAACAAGGUCACCGAACGGCGUGCAUUGCCAAUAACGAUGAUAGUGGUCCUACUUUCCCUAACCGGAGCUUUUGCUGUGGGGAACUGCAGGGAGGCAAAGAAGACUAUUUUCAUAUCAGCGCUCAUAUGCAGUGUACUUGCUUAUGUUCUCAUUCAUGUCUUGAUAGCAGUACAUAUAAUUCCUCCAGAAUGGAGAAGGCAGGUGGCAGAGAUGCUAAAGCACUCAGUUAGUCAUUUUUGCUCAGUGCCGCGUCAAUCAGGCGACAACCAGACUGGGGGUGAUACUAGUGAGAAGGAGUUGGGAAGGCGGCGUAAUCUGCUAUUGACCAUUGCUAUUUUGGCUGUGACUGUCACAUACCAAGCUGGCAUGAACCCUCCAGGAGGUGUCUGGUCUGAUGACAAGGAUGCCACGGGAACUCCGGGCAAUCCAAUCCUUCAUGAUACCCAUCCAAAACGCUAUGAUGUGUUCUACUACUCAAAUUCAGUUUCAUUUGUGUCGUCCGUGGUCGUCACAAUAUUACUUGUGAAUAAGGAAUCCUGUGAGUAUGGAAUCAAGUCCUAUGCACUGCGAGUGUGUUUGGUGGCGGGCUUGCUUGGCCUCCUCAUUGCCUAUGUUGCAGGAAGUUGCAGAAAUAUUAAACAGUCCAUAUAUCUGAGCAUCAUUGCUAUGGCAGUUCUAGUGUCACUUCUGAUUCAAGUUCUGCUCUCUUCAAUGCAUGGCACACUAGGAAGACCAUUGGCUAAGUGUCUAGUAUUUCUACACGAUCUUCUCUUUCAUGCGGAGGGUGAACGAGUAAUCACUCCCGUGAGGCCAGUAGCUUCAGUUGUCGAAGAAAAAAAAGUUAAAAAGAGACACAAGUAUCUGAUGCUUCUUGCAAUUUUAGCAGCAUCGAUCGCAUACCAAGCUGGUCUGAACCCACCUGGUGGAUUCUGGUCUGAUGAUGAGGGCCAUGUACCAGGCAAUCCCGUGCUUCGUGAUAUUAAUCACCGACGGUACAAGAUCUUCUUCUGGUUCAAUUCUUUCGCAUUCAUGGCAUCCAUUGUGGUGAUCAUGCUUCUGCUGAGUAAAUCUAUCAGGAAGGCUGUGCCACUUGGAAUAUUGCACUUGAUCAUGAUACUGGAUAUGUUGGCUCUGAUGACAGCUUUUGCUGCGGGAAGCUGCCGCAAAUUGAGGACUUCAGUGUAUGUCUAUGCACUAGUUGGCGGCGUUGUAGUAAUCCUGCUGCUCCUAAUUAUUGUGACAAGUGCAAUUGCAAAAUGUCGGAAGCCAAGAGAGGGAAAUGGGAUUAACUCCCCAAGACGUCCUGAACCUGUUUCAGGAGCAAACACACCAGCACGACCUGAAGUUUGA